rnacentral:rRNA from 1 species
AUUGAACGCUGGCGGCAGGCCUAACACAUGCAAGUCGAACGAGUGGCGGACGGGUGAGUAAUGUCUGGGAAACUGCCUGAUGGAGGGGGCUAACUACUGGAAACGGUAGCUAAUACCGCAUACUAUCGUAUGUGCCCAUGUGGGAUUAGCUAGUAGAUGGGGUAAAGGCUAACCUAGGCGACGCUCCCUAGCUGGUCUGAGAGGAAGACCAGCCACACUGGGACUGAGACACGGUCCAGACUCCUACGGGAGGCAGCAGUGGGGAAUAUUGGACAAUGGGCGAAAGCCUGAUGCAGCCAUGCCGCGUGUAUGAAGAAGGCCUUCGGGUUGUAAAGUACUUUCAGCGGGGAGGCGGUACCCAAAGAAGAAGCACCGGCUAACUCCGUGCCAGCAGCCGCGGUAAUAC